rnacentral:rRNA from 1 species
AAAAUUAAAGGUUUAAUCUGCCCAAUGAUAUUUGAAUGGCCGCGGUAACUUGACCGUGCAAAGGUAGCAUAAUUAUUAGUCUUUUAAUUGAAGGCUUGAAUGAAAGAUUGGAUGAAAAAUAAACUUUAUUAACAAGAAUUAUUUAAUUUAUUAUUUAAGUAAAAAUUCUUAAAUAUAUAAGUGGGACGAGAAGACCCUAUAGAGUUUUAUUUUUAUUUGUAUUAUAAGAUUUAAGAAUAAAUAUUUUUAUAGUUUAAAUAAAUUUUUUAUUGGGGUGAUAUUAAAAAUUAUUAAACUUUUAAUUAUUAUAACAUUAAUAUAUGUGUUAUUGAUCCAAAAAUAUUUUGAUUAUAAGAUAUAAUUACCUUAGGGAUAACAGCGUUAUUAAUUUGAAGAGUUCAAAUCGAUAAAUUAGUUUGCGACCUCGAUGUUGGAUUAAGAAUAAAUUUUGGAGUAGUGUUUAAAAUUAUAGGUCUGUUCGACCUUUGAAUUCUUACG